rnacentral:rRNA from 1 species
UACGUAGGGGGCAAGCGUUGUCCGGAAUUACUGGGCGUAAAGCGUGCGUAGGUGGUGAGUUAAGUCUGUCGUGAAAGCCCCGGGCUCAACCUGGGAAUGGCGAUGGAUACUGGCUCGCUAGAGUGCGGUAGAGGAGAGUGGAAUUCCCGGUGUAGCAGUGAAAUGCGUAGAGAUCGGGAGGAACAUCAGUUGCGAAGGCGGCUCUCUGGACCAGCACUGACACUGAGGCACGAAAGCGUGGGGAGCAAACAGG